rnacentral:rRNA from 1 species
GAUGAACGCUAGCGGCAGGCUUAACACAUGCAAGUCGAACGGAAAGGCCCUUCGGGGUACUCGAGUGGCGAACGGGUGAGUAACACGUGGGUGAUCUGCCCUGCACUUUGGGAUAAGCCUGGGAAACUGGGUCUAAUACCGGCUAGGACCACGCGCUUCAUGGUGUGUGGUGGAAAGCUGUUGCGGUGUGGGAUGGGCCCGCGGCCUAUCAGCUUGUUGGUGGGGUAAUGGCCUACCAAGGCGACGAAGGGUAGCCGGCAGGAGAGGGUGACCGGCCACACUGGGACUGGGAUACGGCACAGACUCCUACGGGAGGCAGCAGUGGGGAAUAUUGCACAAUGGGCGCAAGCCUGAUGCAGCGACGCCGCGUGAGGGAUGACGGCCUUCGGGUUGUAAACCUCUUUCGCCAGGGACGAAGCGCAAGUGACGGUACCUGGAGAAGAAGGACCGGCCAACUACGUGCCAGCCGCCGCAGUAACAC